GUUUCCUACGGGGGGCAGCAGUGGGGAAUAUUGGACAAUGGGGGGAACCCUGAUCCAGCCAUGCCGCGUGUGUGAAGAAGGCCUUAUGGUUGUAAAGCACUUUAAGCGAGGAGGAGGCUCCUGUAGUUAAUACCUACAGAGAGUGGACGUUACUCGCAGAAUAAGCACCGGCUAACUCUGUGCCAGCAGCCGCGGUAAUACAGAGGGUGCGAGCGUUAAUCGGAUUUACUGGGCGUAAAGCGUGCGUAGGCGGCUUUUUAAGUCGGAUGUGAAAUCCCCGAGCUUAACUUGGGAAUUGCAUUCGA
rnacentral:rRNA from 1 species